rnacentral:lncRNA from 1 species
GUUAAGGUUAUUACCAAGACACAAGCUACCGUUUGCUUGAAAUUUACUCUCAGCAGCAAUAACAAUGGCAAUGAACACAACCACGGCAUUCAGCUCAGUUGUUGUCUGUGAACAUUUGCUUUAAAUUUAUUCGCAUCCCAAACUAAUGCUGCCUCAACUUGUUUACGUUCAGGUUGUAAGGUUAAAUGUUUGUUCUGGCCAUUAUACAAGUACCUAUUCUGCUUUAAAUCAACAUCACUCGACGAUAUUGCUACAUGUGCGCCCACGACUACUGAAUACGUUGCAGUUUUCUUGAGCAACCUAACACACCUUCCAGCUGGAAUAUUUCCCAACCACACAAACCUAUGGGGACUGUAAGUCUGAAUUACUUUGUUUAUCAUCGUCAUGGCUUAUGCCUAGUUUGAGCUGAUGCUGCGAUAGCCAAGCAUGCUGGUAUUGUUUCCGUUUUAUCUCUUUUUAUUCAUGAACGUAAUGGUGCAAAGACAUUUUGUGGAGAUCAAAAAAGCCACAAUAAUGUUUAAUCUGAGGUCCUCUAAUCAAACCGUAAGCUAGAACUUUAACAACACGAGGCUGAAUAUUUCCUAAAGGUUAAAAGUUCAGAUUAAAAUGCAGUCGCUUUUAUCAUUUCACACAUCGCUUUGUGAAUUUUCAGACACUUGCGUUCUAACGCAAUUGCAUCUCUGUCCGAAGGAGUGUUCACAAAUCUAGCAAAAAUGACAGACCUAGAUUUGUCUUCAAACGUCAUAACGUCUCUACCAGACAAAGUGUUUGCCAACCAGAGAGGGGUUGCGGAAACUAAAUUUGUCUUCAAACGCUGUUAAAUCUCUGCCUGCCAGAGUGUUUGCCAAUCUGACAAAAUUGAACAUUCUAUACUUGUCUUCAAAUGCGAUUACGUCUCUACCAGACAUGGUGUUUGCCAACCAGAGAAAGUUGUAUCAACUAUACUUGUCUUCCAAUGCUAUUACGUCUCUACCAGACGGAGUGUUUGCCAAUCAGAGAGAGCUGUGGAAACUAGAUUUGACUUCAAACGCUAUGAAAUCUGUAUCUGCCAGAGUGUUUGCGAAACUGACAAAAUUGGGCUAUCUGUAAGUAAAAACAGAGCAAUGAGCAGGUGUAGGCAACGGAUCUGUUCCUUGGAAUAUCUCUUCACACAAAAUUGAGCAAUCUGUAAGUAAAACCCACGGCAAUGGGCAGAGGUAGGCAACACAUCUGUUGUCACUUGAGGAAAAUACGAAGUUAAAAUCCCAAAAUCGUUGUUAGAGGAUUCAACCCAUAAUAACAUUACUUUCCUUUGUACCAUUAUUCUUUCUUAUUGUUUGCCUUGAUUGAAAUGUUUCCCUAAGAAACUUUCCUGUGACCUUCCUUUAUUACUCUCACAAUUUUUCGAUUAUGCCAUAACAUGAUUACCGUUGUUGUUGUUUUUAUCUGUGUAUUUCAAUGAGUUAAAUAAACUAAUAAGAAUGUAAGAUAGCUGAUUGAAAAUAGGUAAUGUCUACAUAUAUAGAGGAUAUUACACGGUGACGAGAAGAUAUGAAUUUUAUGUUCUCGUGGCAAGAAC